rnacentral:rRNA from 1 species
CCUACGGGUGGCAGCAGUGAGGAAUAUUGGUCAAUGGGCGCGAGCCUGAACCAGCCAAGUAGCGUGAAGGAUGACUGCCCUACGGGUUGUAAACUUCUUUUAUAAAGGAAUAAAGUGAGCCACGUGUGCCCUUUUGUAUGUACUUUAUGAAUAAGGAUCGGCUAACGCCGGGCCAGCCGCCGCGGUAAUACGGAGGAUCCGAGCGUUAUUCGGAUUUAUUGGGUUUAAAGGGAGCGUAGAUGGGUUGUUAAGUCAGUUGUGAAAGUUUGCGGCUCAACCGUAAAAUUGCAAUUGAUACUGGCAGCCUUGAGUGCAGGAGAGGUAGGCGGAAUGCGUGGUGUAGCGGUGAAAUGCUUAGAUAUCACGAAGAACUCCGAUUGCGAAGGCAGCUUACUAAACUGCCACUGACAUUGAUGCUCGAAAGUGUGGGUAGCAAACAGGAUUAGAUACCCGUGUAGUC